rnacentral:rRNA from 1 species
GACGAACCGUCCGAACGUUAUUCGGAAUCACUGGGCUUAAAGAGUGCGUAGGCGGCUUAUCAGGCGGGGUGUGAAAUCCCUCGGCCCAACCGAGGAAUAGCGCUCCGAACCGAUAGGCUUGAGGAGGAUAGAGGUAAGCGGAACAGAUGGUGGAGCGGUGAAAUGCGUUGAUAUCAUCUGGAACACCUGUGGCGAAAGCGGCUCACUGGACCGUUACUGACGCUGAGGUGCGAAAGCUAGGGGAGCAAACGGG